AUAUCUAUUUGUUUCGCACGGGUGAGUAAACGCCUAACUAUAACAUGCCCUUUACUUUCGGGAUAGCCACUACAAAUGGUGAUUAAUACCAAAUACUACCCUACGGGGGAAAGAUCUUAUCGCUAAAGGAUCGGUCUAUGUACUAUCAGCCUUGUUGGUGAGGUAAAGGCUCACCAAGGCGAUGACGGGUAUCCGGCCUGAGAGGGUGAACGGACACACUGGAACUGAGACACGGUCCACACUCCUACGGGAGGCACCAGUAGGGAAUAUUGCUCAAUUGUGUGUCUCAAGCCUGAAAGCAGCAAACGCCCGCGGUGGCAGGAAUGAAAGGUUCUCUAGGAUUCUGUAAACCUCCUUUUUGUUCAAGGAAAAAUC
rnacentral:rRNA from 1 species